CAGAGUUCAUGCCCUCCUGGGUAGAUCUCCCACCCUGUGUUAUCGUCACCUUUGUUGCUUUGGCGGGCCGCCCAGGCCCCUCGGCCAGGCUACCGGCUCCGGCUGGUACGCGCCCGCCAGAGGACCCCCAACUCUUGAAUAUCAGUGUCGUCUGAGUAACUAUAUAAUAGUUA
rnacentral:misc_RNA from 1 species